rnacentral:sRNA from 1 species
UCAUAGCCCAGAUAGAAACGGCAUCCUUUUUUGCGUUGGACGGAACGAAGUGGAGACCAAUGCAAAAAAGAUAUAGUGGAUAGCUGGAAAUAGC